CUGGAGUUUCACUUUUUAAUUCUUCUUGGUGAAAGCAACGCAGGUGUUUCGUUUUUUCAGCAAUACCUACUAGUGGCUUCCUCAACAAAGACCUCUGAAGAAAAGAGGAUUCGUUUCUACAGAAAUGGCUGCGUUUGUUUGCGUCAUUAGGUGAUUUUACAAAGAGC